GAUGAACGCUGGCGGCGUGCCUAAUACAUGCAAGUCGAGCGAACGGACGAGAAGCUUGCUUCUCUGAUGUUAGCGGCGGACGGGUGAGUAACACGUGGAUAACCUACCUAUAAGACUGGGAUAACUUCGGGAAACCGGAGCUAAUACCGGAUAAUAUUUUGAACCGCAUGGUUCAAAAGUGAAAGACGGUCUUGCUGUCACUUAUAGAUGGAUCCGCGCUGCAUUAGCUAGUUGGUAAGGUAACGGCUUACCAAGGCAACGAUGCAUAGCCGACCUGAGAGGGUGAUCGGCCACACUGGAACUGAGACACGGUCCAGACUCCUACGGGAGGCAGCAGUAGGGAAUCUUCCGCAAUGGGCUAAAGCCAGACGGAGCAACGCCGCGUGAGUGAUGAAGGUCUUCGGAUCGUAAAACUCUGUUAUUAGGGAAGAACAUAUGUGUAAGUAACUGUGCACAUCUUGACGGUACCUAAUCAGAAAGCCACGGCUAACUACGUG
rnacentral:rRNA from 1 species